rnacentral:lncRNA from 1 species
CUAGUGGUGUCAGCCUAUAUAAGUCAUCACUUGUCUGCUAACGUGCUAAUCGAGGAGGACAGACCAAGGAAAGGCACACUCUUCAAGGCAUAGAGGUUUCCACAUUUCCCUGUUGACGUUUUCGAAACGUAAGUUGCAAAGAUGAAAUUCGUUCUGCUGCUGAUCGUAAGCUCCUUUGCUGGGCAAGGUAUCCUAGGACAGCAGGUGGCGUUUCAGGCUCAGUUUUCUUCAGAAUAUGUCUCAGCGCCCGCAACUGGUCCCCACAUCUUCAAUAACGUCAUCUUUAACCGUGGCAACGCGUAUAGCUGCAGCACCGGCAAAUUCACUGCUCCAGCCCCUGGAGUGUAUUAUUUCGCGACCCAAGUGUUCACCGCUAACAAGAUGAGAGUGAUGGUAGACAUCAGACGAAAUUUCACACCUGUCUCCAGGAUGGCUCUUAACACCACACAACCUGGCGACGCAGAAAGCGUGUCUACUGGAAUUAUUCUGCAAUUAGCAGCUAAUGACCAGGUCUGGGUAGAAACGGCCAAUCCAGUCUAUCCUGGUAGAUACUGGGGACUGAUGCAUACCCAUUUCUCUGGGUUUCGGGUGUGCGGCUGCUAAAGAAAUCUGAGCUUAUGCAAAUAAUCGUUUCUCACGUUAUGCUUGGCCAUUCUGAAUUCCUCUUUUUGCUGUUACUCAUGUUAGUAACAUAUCCUUUCUAGAACCCUUUCUUUUUGUAUGAACCUUAAAAGAUACGAUACUAAUAAAUGCAACGACAACAUGAAAUAAGUAUAUAAAAUAGAGGGCGACGACUGCAAUUCAAAAUCAUGGUGCCACCAUAUAAAGUGUUAAUUUAAGAGACAUUUACUAGAUAGAAAUCGAGCUUAAGACAAAAGAAAUCAUGUGUUCAACAAAGCAAAUAAUUCCAAUUGUCUUACAUCUUCAACUAAUUGGGAGGUAGAUUUGAACACAUGUCCAGCUGAAGAUGACCACUUCAUAGGUUGCACAUAACGAACCGUGUUAUUUAGAAACAUUUGACCGCUUAAACAUUAACGUCGGUUGUUGUUGUUUUUUGUUUGUUUUUCUUUCUUCGGUGGAUAUUUUUGGGUAAGUUUUAGUUUUUUUAGUGAAAGCUUUCUUCACUAGACAUGCCAAUGAAGAUAAUACAGUACACGAAGAAAGAAGGUUCAAAAAUAUAUUUGACAGUUUACUCUUUUCAGUGCUGAAUAAAAUGACUGUUCGGUCA